UACGAAGGGGGCUAGCGUUGUUCGGAAUUACUGGGCGUAAAGGGCGCGUAGGCGGCUCUGAUCGUCGGAUGUGAAAGGCCUGGGCUCAACCUGGGAAUGGCAUCCGAUACGGCGGGGCUGGAGUGUGGGAGAGGUUGGUGGAAUUCCCAGUGUAGAGGUGAAAUUCGUAGAUAUUGGGAAGAACACCGGUGGCGAAGGCGGCCAACUGGACCACAACUGACGCUGAGGCGCGAAAGCGUGGGGAGCGAACAGG
rnacentral:rRNA from 1 species